UUAUACUCUUGAUGCCAGAGAUGACAAAGGUGCAGCUAGGACUUUAGCUUUGAUUUCACAGUACGAGUAUGAGGAUGAAAUCUGGGUUUGAGUGUUGCAGAGUCAACGUUAGAGGAAAAUGAAAUAUUUAGUGACAAAAUAAGCUCUAAUUUGGGAAAAUCUUCAGGGACUGGAACUGAAAGCUCUGUUCAAACUGCUUCUAAUACAAAGUGGGGAUC
rnacentral:misc_RNA from 1 species